rnacentral:lncRNA from 1 species
UCUCUCUUGGGUUACUAUACUUCUGGGCAACAAUUUAGCACUUUAUGACAAUCCUUAAAUCUAGGGCUAUCCUAUUUUUCUAUCCUAACUUCUAAACCAUCCUUCUCCUUCUAUAAGUACUCUUAUAGUCUUUUCUAGUUUCAAGGUAGAAAUUAGGAAGACAAUAGAAAGCAUAGGAGAUACUGCAAAAAUUUUCCCCUAAAUACCUUAGCCUUCAUCCUAUCUGCAUACCUUCUUUUUACAUUCAUCCUGCCUAAGCAACCAUAAUUCUCAUACCUACAUAACCUCUUGCAACCAAGAAAGGAGAAAAAGAAGUAUCACGAGAGCUUUGGAUGUC